rnacentral:rRNA from 1 species
GUCGAACGAGUUAGGAAGUUUUCGGAUGGAAGUACUUAGUGGCGGACGGGUGAGUAACGCGUGGGAACCUGCCCUGUACCGGGGGAUAACACUUAGAAAUAGGUGCUAAUACCGCAUAAGUUCACAUGAGAAAAACUCCGGUGGUACAGGAUGGUCCCGCGUCUGAUUAGCCAGUUGGCAGGGUAACGGCCUACCAAAGCGACGAUCAGUAGCCGGCCUGAGAGGGUGAACGGCCACAUUGGGACUGAGACACGGCCCAAACUCCUACGGGAGGCAGCAGUGGGGAAUAUUGCACAAUGGGGGAGACCCUGAUGCAGCGACGCCGCGUGAGUGAAGAAGUAUUUCGGUAUGUAAAGCUCUAUCAGCAGGGAAGAAAAUGACGGUACCUGACUAAGAAGCCCCGGCUAACUACGUGCCAGCAGCCGCGGUAAUACGUAGGGGGCAAGCGUUAUCCGGAUUUACUGGGUGUAAAGGGAGCGUAGACGGCAUGACAAGCCAGAUGUGAAAACCCAGGGCUCAACCCUGGGACUGCAUUUGGAACUGCCAGGCUGGAGUGCAGGAGAGGUAAGCGGAAUUCCUAGUGUAGCGGUGAAAUGCGUAGAUAUUAGGAGGAACACCAGUGGCGAAGGCGGCUUACUGGACUGUAACUGACGUUGAGGCUCGAAAGCGUGAGGAGCAAACAGGAUUAGAUACCCUGGUAGUC